AAGUGAAUGAACCCAUUGCUGUGCACCAAGGUUUACAUAUACAGCCUGGGCUAUUAGGCAUGACAAGGAUCUAUUCCUGAGUGGUUUGAAACAUCUGUACAGGAACCAUUCACACUUUUGUCCCAGGCAGAAGUCAUCUACGUGGAAAUUGUUAAAAGAUAAAUACAGGUUUUGAUGCAUUUUUAGGAAUAAAGCCAGAAGUGGAUCCAGCAGGACAGAGAGGUCCUUCCUUGACAUUCUCCAUUGCCUUUUCUAUUCCCUUCUAUUUAUAGGGUCUCUUAUAUUGUAGCAUGUCUUACAGUUCAUUGUCAUUCACAGCUGCACACAUACCACAAUUCUGAAGGCUUCUGGGCUUUUGCCGUUUUCUAUGUUUCCUUAGAGUCUCUUUAGAACUUGCUCUGGUGACUUCUUAGGGAAGAAACUGCAGCACUGAAAAUGGUCUUGUCAAGCGCCUCACACGCUCUGUAACUCUGUACAAAAGACGUCAAGCAAAACUGGAAAACAAUAAUUUUGUAAAACAAAAGACAUCAAGCAAAUCAAUAUUAUAGUAUAAUUAACACAAAUUAUUCAUUUUACAGAGCAAGUAAUCCAUAAAUACACCAGAUGAGUGUCUAUGGCAGUUAUUAAAAGGGUUUUCCCAUUUAGAUAAAUAUAAGUCUAA